rnacentral:rRNA from 1 species
UACGUAGGGGGCAAGCGUUGUCCGGAUUUAUUGGGCGUAAAGAGCGUGUAGGCGGCUAGAUAGGUCCGUUGUGAAAACUCGAGGCUCAACCUCGAGACGUCGAUGGAAACCAUCUGGCUAGAGUCCGGAAGAGGAGAGUGGAAUUCCUGGUGUAGCGGUGAAAUGCGCAGAUAUCAGGAAGAACACCCGUGGCGAAGGCGGCUCUCUGGUACGUGACUGACGCUGAGGCACGAAGGCCAGGGGAGCAAACGGG